rnacentral:tRNA from 1 species
CUCCCCUUGGUGUAGUUGGUUCAUCACUUUCGACUGUAAUGGAUACAUUGUCAUCGAAAGGUCUCUAGUUCGAUUCUGGAAGGGGAGA